GGCUCGGUAGCUUAGUUGGUAAAGCACUUGUCUAGUGAAGAAGGGUAGUGAGUUCAAAUCUCACCUGAGCUG
rnacentral:tRNA from 1 species